GACGAACGCUGGCAGCGUGCCUAAUACAUGCAAGUCGAGCGAGACUCUUCGGAGUCUAGCGGCGGACGGGUGAGUAACACGUGGGCAACCUGCCUGUAAGACUGGGAUAACACCGGGAAACCGGUGCUAAUACCGGAUAAUCCUUUUUCUCUCAUGAGGAAAAGCUGAAAGUCGGUUUCGGCUGACACUUACAGAUGGGCCCGCGGCGCAUUAGCUAGUUGGUGAGGUAACGGCUCACCAAGGCGACGAUGCGUAGCCGACCUGAGAGGGUGAUCGGCCACACUGGGACUGAGCCACGGCCCAGACUCCUACGGGAGGCAGCAGUAGGGAAUCUUCCACAAUGGACGAAAGUCUGAUGGAGCAACGCCGCGUGAGCGAUGAAGGCCUUCGGGUCGUAAAGCUCUGUUGUUAGGGAAGAACAAGUACCGGAGUAACUGCCGGUACCUUGACGGUACCUAACCAGAAAGCCACGGCUAACUACGUGCCAGCAGCCGCCGUAA
rnacentral:rRNA from 1 species